GCUGUGUGCAGGGAACCAGCUUCCGGGGUGGUUCAGCAAGGCUGACGAUCACCACCGUGCGUUGAGAGUCCAUUGCCGGUAGGACUCAGCAGGGUGUAUUCUUCUUGAACUUCAGCACCAAUGGCCUGUCAGUUUUUGUCACCUGGUAUGUGACUGGAUCAUUCUGGUCUGCGGGCUUCAAUCUCGUCCAGUGGAUCCAGGAUCUUCCUUCUAAGGACUUAACUGCAAGAGAAUGGUUUGCAAUGCAUGGGAUGUGAAGACUGCUACUUCAGAGGUGAAAGUCAGUUUGUUGACAUCAGAAGACUAUUCCAGCUGCCAAAGAAGGUAUGCAACCCAGUGGCUUCUUAAAGCCAAACACGUUAAGAAUGCAACUCAUGUGUUUUUCUAUCCUUUAACAAUUCUACCUUUCUAAUAAAAGAAUAAACUGAAAUUACUGCCAAAGGUAACAAUAAAGAUGAACAAACCUCUGCUGAAUAUAUGACAGGAAAUGAACUAUAUAUGAAAAGUAUGUAUUGGAUUGGAAAUACUAAUCCUUGUUCAUAUUGAUACAAUUAAAGCAAAAUAAUUAUAA